rnacentral:sRNA from 1 species
AGACACACCCAGAAACGUUUUAGUAGUUAUUUGUGCAUCCCUUAGCUCAGUCGCUUUGGCACAUAAAAUUAAUGUGAUGACAUCUAUAGACAAUUCUAACAAAUCCACAAAAAAGGGCUAGAACUAAUUAAUUAUGCAAGGAAGUAUUUGUUGAGUGUCUGUUACAUGACCGGCACUGUCCUAGGCACCCAAGGGUGAGGAAAAUAAAACAACCCUCCUUGAACUUGGAGCUGUGGAACCUUUAACUAAGCUACUCACCCAUGAAGACAAAAUUGUAAGAAGAAAUGCUACUAUGAUAUUUGGAAUCCUGGCUUCUAAUAAUGACGUUAAAAAAUUGUUAAGGGAGUUAGAUGUCAUGAAUUCUGUCAUUGCCCAGCUUGCUCCAGAAGAAGAAGUAGUUAUCCAUGAGUUUGCUAGUCUUUGUCUAGCAAACAUGUCUGCAGAGUACACCAGUAAAGUGCAAAUAUUUGAACAUGGGGGAUUAGAGCCACUCAUCAGACUACUGAGUAGCCCCGACCCGGAUGUAAAGAAGAACUCUAUGGAAUGCAUUUACAACUUGGUGCAGGAAAUCUAAUAUGUGGAAACUGCGCAGUUACUAUUGACUGAACCCUGCUGGUCUAAGCACAUUGGAUGUAAUAUAUACCCUAUUCAAUGUACUGAGAUUUUGGUUUAGGCUUAUUUGUUGCUAAAAAUCUAGUGAUUUUUGAUUUUUGAGUAUGCAGGACAGAAUUCAUUGUCCACAAUAGCAAGAUGCUACCUCACUGUGCUGUUUUCCUUUGUCACGGAAAGAAACUGCCAACCUUCCCCUCCCCUGCAGUCCUGUCCUUUGCACCCCAACCCCCAGAAUAUACACACAUACACACACACACACCCUCACACCCACAGCAGGUCAGCUUCCUGACACUUUGAACAGCCUUCUCUGCUGCUUAGAUUCCUUAACAAUUAGCAUGCACAUUUGAUGAGCUUUAGAUCACCUGAAAUUGGAAAGACACAAAUUUUAAAUGGCCAUUAAUAGAGUAGGGAAUGAGGAGAUACCAAAAUGAGAGUGAAGAAGAGGAUUAAUGCAGAGGCAAUGUAUUCAGGCAAAGAGGGACAAAUAGGCUCAUGUCAAAAUGCAGCAAAAGCAAAAUUCCUGGCCCAGUAUGCCAUUGCUACUCGACAGGACUGGUUUCACCCUCACCCCUCCCUCCCUAAAAAAGAGACCCUGAAAAAGAAGCUCAGCCCCUCUUUUCCCUUCUCCGGUCACUUUGGCUUUACCUCAUUUGAUUAAAUAUUCCUGUGUGUUUGUGUUUUAAAUCCCAAGACUCCUUAGAGCAGUAUUUCUCUAUUGUCUUAAUCAAGAAGAAAUCAAAAUGAUUACCUCCACAAUUCUUAACAGCAGUACUGGCUAAAAACUGUGUAUUAGUUUCCUAGGGCUGUUGUAACAAAGUACUACAAACUAGGUGGCUUAAAACUACAGACAGUCACAGUUCUGGAGGCCAGAAGUCCAAAAUCAAGGUGGCAGUAGGACCACGUCCCCACUGAGACCAGAUAGGACCCUUCCUCUCCUCUUCCCAGCUUCAUGUAGUGGCCAUCCAUUGGUGGCAUCCCUUGGCUUGUGGCUGCAUCCCAGCAAGCUCUCCCUCUGUCGUCUCUCUCUCCUAAGGACACUAAUUGUACAAGGACACCACUAAGGGCCCACCUUACUCCAGGAUGACCUCAUCUUAACUAAUGACAUCUGCAAUGACCCUGUCUUCAGUAAGGUCACAUUAUGAGGUACUGGGGUUAGGACUUCAGCAUAUAUUUUGGGGGAACACAAUUCAACCCAUGACAAAAAGCAAUCUACAAUUGUGUCUAAAGGAGGCUGAAUAUUAGCAAUCAAUUGAAGGAUGGACAGGGGAAAGCUAAGCUAUAAUUGGAGCCUUUUCCACCUUUAGUACUAUUUUAUAUUUACCAUGUUUUGAUCAAAGGUAUCAUGUCUUAAAAGAGUUUGGGAGCUUUUCAUGGCUUCUUGGCUUGUUUUCUUAAACUCCCCCAACCACCCACUUCUUCACUCACACAGAAUCAUAGACAUACAGGCACAACAAUUGUCUAGAUUACAAUGACCCCUUGAUUGUGUAAAUGUCUUAAAUAAAGGUCAUGUAUCUGAAUAAACCUGCUGUAAAUUUGCAUGCAGAGGGCCUGUCAACAGUACUGCAUGCUAAUAGGUAUUUCAUAAACAAUCCAUUUGAAUGAGAUAAUAAGGAAUCAAUGCCAUUUCAUUGUAUUAAUUACUAUUUGAAGCUGUAUAUCCAAGUGUGAGAAGAAUUUCAUUAUGCAUAGAUUUUAUUAUACUGCUGUUUAAUCAGAAUUUGCUGCAUAAUAAACAAUAGAUAAAAGUCAUAGAUCAUGUAUAUUUUCUGUUGUAGACAAUGUCUACAUAUUAGUUAAAAUAAAUUUUGGUGUUGUCAAUUG